rnacentral:lncRNA from 1 species
CCCCGGGCCAUGGUUCCUCAUAAAGCUUUGUUUAAUUUUCUCUUGCUAUUCUGUCUCAUGUGAAUUUGAAUUCGUUCUCCGGCCAGACGAACCCCCAUUUGGGGAGAGGAAACGUCCUCCUCCCCUACAAUACUUAUCUGCUUUACUUUUUUGUAGAGGAAUAUAAGGAAUAAGCCUUCUGGCCAGGUUGAGAGCUUUCACCCAACUGGAUUCAGUACCUACCUGGCCAUGCCUCCCUCCUAAGAGAAUACUGAGAGCUGAGAGGACACUCAGAGACUGCAGCAGUGCUAGCAAUGGGGAGACACCUACCACGCGGCUUCAUACACCCUUCUUUCAAGGACAAAGUCUUUUUUCCAGCUGACUGGGGUUAAGUUUAUAUGAUAAAUAUAUGGAGAAAUGUGUGUUUUCUCCUUGAUCGUUUCUUUCAGGUGUUGCCCCAUCUCUGGUAACUUCCUGUUUCCUGUAUCUCCUGAGGAAGCCUGAGCAUGUCAGACAAGGAAACAGGCUCAAUGUCUUCAUGAGGCUACAGCCUCACUGACAUUUACUGUCUGGGUUUCCAGGUCUUGGGACAACAUGGAAAUAUGAAGAACUGGUAUCUCAUCAGAAAACUGACAUCGUUCACUAUACACAUCAGCUGUGGGCUUUGAAAUGGAAGCCAAGAGGAAAUCUUUCCAUUUCUUGAUGUAUGCCCUUUAAAAUGGAACCUACUGAAGACCCCCCAGUGGAAAUCCAACAGGGUCAUCAUUGGUUAAAGUUAUGGAUCAUAAGGAAUAUUCAAGCUAAAUAUAUUAAUGAGAAGCAUAAAAGUGAUCACUCAGAAAAUUCACCUGAGGAUUAUCUUUAAAAAUAAUAAUUGUGAGGGGCUGGC